rnacentral:rRNA from 1 species
CAGCCGCCACGGUAAUACGUAGGUGGCAAGCGUUGUCCGGAAUUAUUGGGCGUAAAGGGCUCGCAGGCGGUUUCUUAAGUCUGAUGUGAAAGCCCCCGGCUCAACCGGGGAGGGUCAUUGGAAACUGGGAAACUUGAGUGCAGAAGAGGAGAGUGGAAUUCCACGUGUAGCGGUGAAAUGCGUAGAGAUGUGGAGGAACACCAGUGGCGAAGGCGACUCUCUGGUCUGUACCUGACGCUGAGGAGCGAAAGCGUGGGGAGCGAACAGGAUUAGAGACCCCUGUAGUCCCUGUCUCUUAUAC